rnacentral:rRNA from 1 species
GGUGAACGCUGGCGGCGUGCUUAAGACAUGCAAGUCGAACGCGGUCUUCGGACCGAGUGGCGCACGGGUGAGUAACACGUAACUGACCUACCCAGAAGUCACGAAUAACUGGCCGAAAGGUCCGCUAAUACGUGAUGUGGUGAUGCACCGUGGUGCAUCACUAAAGAUUUAUCGCUUCUGGAUGGGGUUGCGUUCCAUCAGCUGGUUGGUGGGGUAAAGGCCUACCAAGGCGACGACGGAUAGCCGGCCUGAGAGGGUGGCCGGCCACAGGGGCACUGAG